GCCCCGUAGCGCCAGGGAGGUCGAGGCCAUCGCAAGCAUAAGUCCCCAGCAGAAGGAAGACUACUUCGUGAACCACAUGAAGAGUGAUGUGCAGGGGAAACAAGAAUUACGACCCCUCCAUCCCAUGCGAGCAGUAUGAAAGACAGGGAAGUUCAUCCUGGCAGACUAUGUGGCUCAGUGUGUAUGUUAAAUGAAGGAAAAAGAAAUAGCAGGUGUCCAGCAGCAUCAGUGUGUGGCUCCCCUAUAAUUCUUCUCUCUGUGUGUGUGCACACGCGCUGCACACGAGGAUAAGUACGAGGAAAAAUGGAGGCGUCCGGGCCAGGACCUGGCGGAGUAGAUUGGCCAGAGUAGUCGGGCAUGGCCAUGGCAUCCGACCGCAGACGGCGACGAAUCCGCAACGUUGUAGCUUGCUGCCGUCGGGUGCGUGCAUUCCGUUGGUGUGUCGCGUGAGUGGUGAGUGUGUGCGUUGUGCUAGUAGUAUGUCCCGUGAGUGGUGAGUGUGUGCGAUGUGCUAGUAGUAUGUGCUGAUGUGCAGGGUGCAUGCAUGUAUGAGUGCACAUGCGUGUUGUCACACACGAACUCAAAAAUGUUUCAGAUUUUGUAGCCAACUCGUGUGCACCACAGCUGUUCGUGUUUAUGACCCAAAAGGAGAAUAUUACAUUUAUACUAAGCAAGAAAAAAAUACAGAGACAUUUUAUCAGGUAUUCUCCUGAUUUAAUGUUCAUUUCUUUGUA